CUGUCUUGGCCUCCCAAAGUGUUGGGAUUACAGGCAUGAGCCACCACACCCAGCCCCUGCUUUACUUCUAAUGACGGUUCUAAUUCUCCACAAUAACCCUAUGAGACAGCAGAGGCGCUGUGUUUGGAAGUCCCGCUAUCACGGCCCCCCAGAUGGGGCCUGGACGAUGCCUCCUGACGGCCUUGUUGCUUCUGGCCCUG
rnacentral:lncRNA from 10 species